ACCCACAAUAUGGCGUCAACUGUAUAAUAAGCACAUAUUCUGUGAGUGAAGUAUGGUUAUGUUAUGUUAUAUUAUUACAUUAUUAUAUUAUUAAACAAGAUUUGUGUUAUGGAGCGUGUAAUUGUUGGCGGUUUUAUGUGCGCAAUGAUUGAUUGCAAUAACAACUCGGGAGUGGAUCGUCAUUUAAUUACAUCUAAUUCAGAAAGAGCAAAAAUGUGGCAACAAGCGUAUGGCAUAAAAAAGAACAUUCCAGAAAAAAAACUCUACAAUAAUUAUAGAGUUUGCUCAUAACAUUUUGCCCCCCCCCCCCAUUGUUUUUAAAUAAUGUAAAUAUCGACUUCAGCCACAUGCAGUUCCAAUAAGUGCGGUUCCUAAUAUUUCCAACGAAGCUGUUACUGCCACUCAAAGUAAAAUCAACGUUGAAACUUCAAUAGAAAAUUGUACAGAAGAUGUACAAGUAAAUGUGCCCGAAGUUAAAAUCAGUUAUUCAAAAGCCAAUUUGACAGAUGCUAUUUCAAAUACAAUAGAUUUUAAUUCAUCAAAUAGUGUUGUACAAUAUAAAGAAGAUAAAGCUACUGAAACCGAACCAAAAUUAUCCAAUCGAACACCAAGGAAAGAAGCUCUCAGAAGAAAAUGUGACGCUGUAGAAAAAAGAUUAAAACGUGCCAAACUUAAAUAUAAUAAGGACAAAAAUUUAGAUGAUAUUACUUAUAGCGAUUUUCAGAAACUUCUUUACAAAUUUUAUCCAAAGCCGAUAGCUGAUUUUAUGAAAGUUCAGGGAGAUAAUCUCAAUAACAAAAAAAAAUGCUACUAUUGAACUGGCAAAUCAAGUAGAAGAAUAUUGUGCUGAUAUUUCUACGGGUGAUGAUACUGAUGCAAUUAUUCGCAACGUAUGUGACGGACAACAGCAAACUAAACGUAUUUGUAAGAAGAAAAAGUUUCCUAACGAUACUUCUGAUAGAAGUGAUUCAUCAAAUGAUACCAUUAAAGAAAAUGAGGAUAUAGCUUAUAAAAAACUACACAGAGAUCGAAGAGCUCCACAUUGCCUCCGAGCAACUACAAAAACGUGAACGAUAAAAAUAAAGAAGACAGUGAUAUUCAUGAUACAGCUUAUAAGAAAGCUCCACAAAACUUCAAGAGCUCUCCAUUGCCUCCAAGCAGCUACAAGAACGUGGAUGAAAACAAAGAAAACAAUGAUAUUCAUGAGAAGAUAGCUUUAAAUACGUUAUCGAAUCCAUUGUUCGAAAGCCUGCCACUUUGUGCAAUAUGGAAGUCCAAACUUCGACAUAUUCGACGAAUUCUGAGAAUUGGGGGAAAGAAUUCGGGGCAGUUUACUCGAAAUGUAAUGCGGUGGCUAAUUUCUGAUAGACUUGCAUUACAACUGUCGUGAUCGGGACAACGAAUAACAAUAAAGUUUAAAGACUUCAAAUUAUGCACAGUGAUUAUCGAAACAAUCGCUGCAAAUACUUCCGACACGGUGAACAAUAUUGGACAAGUAAUAAAGAUUUGGCUAUAACAUGCCAGUGAUAGAAUUAAACAUAAAGAAAAAUAAUAUUUUAAGAUAUACCUGCGCGCGCGCGCACGCACACACAGGCACACACACACACACACAUACACGCGCGCGCGCGCUUGCACGCACACAC